rnacentral:rRNA from 1 species
UACGUAGGUGACCAGCGUUGUCCGGAUUUACUGGGCGUAAAGAGCGCGCAGGCGGUCGUUCAAGUCGAGUGUGAAAGCCCCCGGCUCAACUGGGGAGGGUCAUUCGAUACUGUUCGACUUGAAGGCAGGAGAGGGCAGCAGAAUUCCCGGUGUAGUGGUGAAAUGCGUAGAUAUCAAGAGGAACACCUGAGGUGAAGACGGGUUGCUGGGCCAACACUGACGCUGAUGCGCGAAAGCCAGGGGAGCAAACGGG